AGCUUUCCUAUUGGAUAUCGGGUGGGUGCAUGUAUAGUAGGGCAAAGUUUUCGCUAGUGCAUUUUAAUGUUUUUGACUGCUUUUCCAUGCUGUUCAUUUUUUGUAGCAAGUUUUCAUUCUUUUUUUGUGCAAUUUGUGAUAUUUUACAAUCAAAAUUUUGCCACGUAGUAAAUGAGCAACAAAACAAGUGUUUGGAAUUAAAAAAAAAGAUGCAAAUCAAGAGAAAGGAAUAGAGGCAGAAAAUCAAAAUCAGUAGAUUCAACCAAAAAUAUUCUAGAUUUAGAAAUAGAGGAAAAUAUUCAGAAAUGAUUUAUUACAUGAAAAUUAAAGGAUUUCUAAAGAAUUAGCAGAUGAAUUACUAAAAGAAGUGACUUCCUAUACAGUAUUUGCAGGAUUCCAGUAUUUUUGAAAAUUUGUCUCGGAUAUAGAAUUAUUAGUUUUGAAUUAAUAGAAAACCUAAUGAAGUCACUUGCUUGUCCAGAUUGGCAUCAACAGGACUUAGAAAUAAGAGAGAAAUGAAAUAUUUUUACAGUUUUUGAUAAAACAAUCGCCAAAUUAAAAUCUGAUUCUAGCAAGAUUAUUAAGACCUCUGACAUUAAUCUUUUAGCUGUAGUGUUUCAAUAAAAAAAUAAUGGCAUAAGUUUUAAUAAGUUAACAAAUUUUUUUCCUGGACUAAAUAUCCCUAUUAGGCAACAUCGGGUACUGGCUGCAUCUAAAAUAUUAAAACAGAAAUUGGAUGAUGCAGCCUGAUUUUCAACUGAGAAGGCAAAAAAAACAUGACAGGAAGGAGAGGGGAAAAAAGUAAAACUAAAUGACCAGCAUGAAGC
rnacentral:lncRNA from 1 species